rnacentral:rRNA from 1 species
GACAGAGGGUGCAAACGUUGUUCGGAAUUACUGGGCGUAAAGCGCGUGUAGGCUGCUCAGAAAGUCGGAUGUGAAAGCCCUGGGCUCAACCGAGGAAGUGCGCCCGAAACUGCAGAGCUUGAGUACCGGAGAGGAUGGCGGAAUUCCCCAAGUAGAGGUGAAAUUCGUAGAUAUGGGGAGGAACACCGGUGGCGAAGGCGGCCAUCUGGACGGAUACUGACGCUGAGACGCGAAAGCGUGGGGAGCAAACAGG